GGGUUGUGAGGUUAAGCGACUAAGCGUACACGGUGGAUGCCCUGGCAGUCAGAGGCGAUGAAGGACGUGCUAAUCUGCGAUAAGCGCCGGUAAGGUGAUAUGAACCGUUAUAACCGGCGAUUUCCGAAUGGGGAAACCCAGUGUGACUCGUCACACUAUCAUUAACUGAAUCCAUAGGUUAAUGAGGCGAACCGGGGGAACUGAAACAUCUAAGUACCCCGAGGAAAAGAAAUCAACCGAGAUUCCCCCAGUAGCGGCGAGCGAACGGGGAGGAGCCCAGAGCCUGAAUCAGCAUGUGUGUUAGUGGAAGCGUCUGGAAAGGCGCGCGAUACAGGGUGACAGCCCCGUACACAAAAGCGCAUAUGCUGUGAGCUCGAUGAGUAGGGCGGGACACGUGGUAUCCUGUCUGAAUAUGGGGGGACCAUCCUCCAAGGCUAAAUACUCCUGACUGACCGAUAGUGAACCAGUACCGUGAGGGAAAGGCGAAAAGAACCCCGGCGAGGGGAGUGAAAAAGAACCUGAAACCGUGUACGUACAAGCAGUGGGAGCCCCACCACCAAAGCGUUUCGCUUUGUGUGGUGCACAAAGAAGCGUAACGACAGCACUGAAUGACGGUUAACGGAGCGCAAGCGACGUUCAACAUACAAAGUCAAGCAGUGGAGCGCUUUGGGGUGGGGUGACUGCGUACCUUUUGUAUAAUGGGUCAGCGACUUAUAUUCUGUAGCAAGGUUAACCGAAUAGGGGAGCCG
rnacentral:rRNA from 1 species